UCUCGGUAUGUUUUUAGAUACACCUUGUGUAUACUUCAUUCCUUCAUUCAAAAAUACGACUUGUAACAAAUGUGUUAUCGCUCGCGAAAUUUAAAACGUUAUGAAUUCUUUCCAUAUCAAUGAAGAGAAUAUGUAACAUGAUAUUAUAAAAAAUGCACCAUUGAAUUGAUAAAAUAUCGAGGAAAUCAAUUAGAAUAUUUGCGCUUCGAGUUAUAUUGCUUUCAAGAAAUAUUCAUAAGCUUUCAGGUCGUUAUAAAGUUAUAUUACUUCAGUCUAUCUGAAGUUAAUCAUUAAAAAUUAUACAAGACAGCUUGAAAUUGAUCAUUUGUAUCAUUUUAUCUCUUCAUUGCUAAUUGGGUUUAUGUCAUGAAUAAUAAUAUGAAUGAAUUUGAGAUCUGUGGAGCCCUGUGGUGAAUUCAAAACUACCAGAAAACAUACAGAAUGUUGACUUACUUCAACAAAACUAUUAGUGAUGAGAUGUUGGUACUUGAGUCUCACUUUAGAAUCCCUCACAAGUCUCAUAACACUAGCAUCAUCAACCAAAAUAUCACAACCGUGUG